AUUGAACGCUGGCGGCAGGCCUAACACAUGCAAGUCGAACGGUAACAGGAAGCAGCUUGCUGCUUUGCUGACGAGUGGCGGACGGGUGAGUAAUGUCUGGGAAACUGCCUGAUGGAGGGGGAUAACUACUGGAAACGGUAGCUAAUACCGCAUAACGUCGCAAGACCAAAGAGGGGGACCUUCGGGCCUCUUGCCAUCGGAUGUGCCCAGAUGGGAUUAGCUAGUAGGUGGGGUAACGGCUCACCUAGGCGACGAUCCCUAGCUGGUCUGAGAGGAUGACCAGCCACACUGGAACUGAGACACGGUCCAGACUCCUACGGGAGGCAGCAGUGGGGAAUAUUGCACAAUGGGCGCAAGCCUGAUGCAGCCAUGCCGCGUGUAUGAAGAAGGCCUUCGGGUUGUAAAGUACUUUCAGCGGGGAGGAAGGGAGUAAAGUUAAUACCUUUGCUCAUUGACGUUACCCGCAGAAGAAGCACCG
rnacentral:rRNA from 1 species